UAAAUUUUGCUUCUCGUGGGAUUAGCAAAGCAAUUGAGGACCCCGUCGAUGGGGACCCGCCAGUUGAGGACAAGAAGAUAAUGAGUGCCCCUCUUCUUACUUCGGCUCUAUAUCCAUAAAGACCUCAAACAGGAGUACAUGUUAAAGAUGAACACUCUCACUUUAUGAAAAAGCUCUCAAAGAGCGCUAUGAUCAGCAAAAGGAACUCAUUUGGCCUGAGGCUAAUUUUGAGUGGUCUCAACUA
rnacentral:lncRNA from 1 species